rnacentral:rRNA from 1 species
CGCGUAGGCGGUUUUUUAAGUCUGAUGUGAAAGCCCACGGCUCAACCGUGGAGGGUCAUUGGAAACUGUAAAACUUGAGUGCAGAAGAGGAAAGUGGAAUUCCAUGUGUAGCGGUGAAAUGCGCAGAGAUAUGGAGGAACACCAGUGGCGAAGGCGACUUUCUGGUCUGUAACUGACGCUGAUGUGCGAAAGCGUGGGGAUCAAACA